rnacentral:tRNA from 1 species
GGCUACUAUGCUACGGCUUCUGUGGUGGUUGUUCAGGGCGGCCCCGGUUCGAUUCAGGAUGCACGCCGUACCGGUGCUAUUCCGCUGGUGGUACC